GUGAAUCAUCAAAUCUUUGAACGCAUAUUGCACUAUCUGGUAUUCCGGAGAGUAUGCCUAUUUGAGGGUCAUUUGAAAUAAUAUAAAUUUCGAGAUUUUCUUGAAUUCAAAAAUGGGGCGGUCCAGCUUUCGUGUGGUGGUAGCCUAAAAUGAAAGACAAUCGCAUUUCUAGGGUUGGGGGAUACUUUCAGUUACGGCGUGACUUCACAAGAAAUUUUCGUGCGGGUUAAGACGUGUGCAAG
rnacentral:misc_RNA from 1 species